UCCCUGGUGGCUCAGCUGGUAAAGAAUCUGCCUGCAAUGCAGGAGACCUGGGUUUGAUCCCUGGUUUGGGAA
rfam:TPA: Bos taurus chromosome 5, whole genome shotgun sequence.